UUUUUUUUUUUUUUUUUUUUUUUUUUUUUUUUUUUUUUUUUUUCCGCUUAGGGUACACCUUGUUGGCGUGAC
rnacentral:ribozyme from 13 species